rnacentral:rRNA from 1 species
AUGGGGCACGCGCCGGGGGUAGCUCGCGUGCGGCGGGCGCUGCUCGCCCCGUGCGUGACGUGCCCUCUCUGCGACGGCUACUUCCGGGAGGCCAGCGCCUUCACCGAGUGCGGCCAUACCUUUUGCCGGGAAUGUAUUAUGAAGAAAAUAGAUGAGGAGGAGAUCGAAGCCUGCCCAGUAUGCGACGUUGCUCUUGGGAUCACUCCUGAAGAGAAACUCAGGGCUGAUAUAAGUAUUCAGGCUAUCAGAAAUUAUUUGUUUCCACCUAAGGCAGAUGUAGAUGCUUUUGAGGCUCCAACUAUUACAUUGCCAGCGAAGAGAAAAGAGAGGUCCAUUUCUUCCUUGGUUGAAACCCCAAAGAUGUCAACACAGUCUACUCUGACAGGACGGAGAACCAAAGCUGCAAGAAGGACUAUCACAUCCCAGACGUUUUCUCUCGGUAAAUUGCCAAAUAAAUCUGAAGACCGCUAUCAGAUGGCUGAGAAGGCCUCGGCACUAAAAUCUACCAAGAUGACAACAUCUGCAAAUAAAAAACAGAACAGUGUAGAUAUUUCUGAAGAUGGAAAGAAUCAUGGGACGAUUGACAAGGAAGAGCUUGAGAAGCCCUUACGGAGUUUAGUCGUGGCAAGCGCGAAGAAAUCGCAGAAUCCAAGUCCUUGUCUCAAGGAAAGUCACAAAAAUAAAACAACCACAGAGCAUACUCCGAGGGAAAGCCCAGAAGCAGACUCGCAUGAUGGAAUAACUACCCAAGUCUGGUUUUCACUAGUCACUUCACCGAACCAGAUAGAAGCUAAACUGUUGCCUCAGCUAGAAAAGAAUUUCUACAGAAUUAAAGAUGGAACUAUGCGGGUAUCCUCCAUCCUGAGGCUGAUUAUGAAAAAACUUGAGCUAGCAAGUGACGAUAAGGUGGAGAUCUUAUGCCAUGAUGAGUCGGUGUGCCCCUCGACAACGCUGCACGGCCUACUCGAGCGGUGGCUGAGCUGCAAGCCGAAGGAAGAGGUCCUGAGGCCGGUGGGUGCUCCGGCGAAUGAGUUUGUGAUGGAGCUGCGCUAUCGCCGGUGCCCAGGGUCCAGGCCCCUUUGCUGCACGAUGAAGAUAGCGUCCCUCCCCUGCCAUUGCAGCACCUAG